ensembl:snoRNA C14E2.12 ncRNA
GCAGGGUGUCGUGGCGGGCGCUUGUUACCCAGUGUCGAGGGCUGUAUUCAGGGGAGUUGACAUCAACCCUGUAUUAUUUCGGAUGUCUGGCAGAAAAUCAGCAUAAGUCUAGGUGGAGCGUAACUCCGCCAAAAA